AACAUUUCACAACACGAGCUGACGACAGCCAUGCAGCACCUGUCUCAGAGUUCCCGAAGGCACCAAAGCAUCUCUGCUAAGUUCUCUGGAUGUCAAGAGUAGGUAAGGUUCUUCGCGUUGCAUCGAAUUAAACCACAUGCUCCACCGCUUGUGCGGGCCCCCGUCAAUUCAUUUGAGUUUUAACCUUGCGGCCGUACUCCCCAGGCGGUCGACUUAACGCGUUAGCUCCGGAAGCCACUCCUCAAGGGAACAACCUCCAAGUCGACAUCGUUUACGGCGUGGACUACCAGGGUAUCUAAUCCUGUUUGCUCCCCACGCUUUCGCACCUGAGCGUCAGUCUUUGUCCAGGGGGCCGCCUUCGCCACCGGUAUUCCUCCAGAUCUCUACGCAUUUCACCGCUACACCUGGAAUUCUACCCCCCUCUACAAGACUCUAGCCUGCCAGUUUCGAAUGCAGUUCCCAGGUUGAGCCCGGGGAUUUCACAUCCGACUUGACAGACCGCCUGCGUGCGCUUUACGCCCAGUAAUUCCGAUUAACGCUUGCACCCUCCGUAUUACCACGGCUGCUGGCACGGAGUUAGCCGGUGCUUCUUCUGCGAGUAACGUCAAUCACUGUGGUUAUUAACCACAAUGCCUUCCUCCUCGCUGAAAGUACUUUACAACCCGAAGGCCUUCUUCAUACACGCGGCAUGGCUGCAUCAGGCUUGCGCCCAUUGUGCAAUAUUCCCCACUGCUGCCUCCCGUAGGAGUCUGGACCGUGUCUCAGUUCCAGUGUGGCUGGUCAUCCUCUCAGACCAGCUAGGGAUCGUCGCCUAGGUGAGCCAUUACCCCACCUACUAGCUAAUCCCAUCUGGGCACAUCUGAUGGCAAGAGGCCCGAAGGUCCCCCUCUUUGGUCUUGCGACGUUAUGCGGUAUUAGCUACCGUUUCCAGUAGUUAUCCCCCUCCAUCAGGCAGUUUCCCAGACAUUACUCACCCGUCCGCCGCUCGUCGCCCAGGAGCAAGCUCCCUGUGCUACCGCUC
rnacentral:rRNA from 1 species